GCUCAUCCGGGAUUAGUCCCUGCGGUCGGCUAAUCCCAGCGGCUGGACCGACCCCGGGGUCCGGAGCGAGGCCCACACAGUACCGGCCUAGGGAGCUAGGGCGCGGGUCGAGCAAAAGCGCGCGACGCUGGGCGGGUGUGGGGGUGGGGAGGGGCGGAGGAGGGAGCAACGCCCCGGGAGGCGGGGCCAGGAACCGGCUGAUCCGGUCUCUGUUUUCCGACCUCUCCGGAGCGGGUGUUUACCCGGGAGCCGGACGGAGGAGGCCGGGGCCGGUCGAGCCCGGAAGGGGGGAGGGGAGCGCAGUCGGAGACCGAGGCUGAGACCUUUUCGGUUCCUUUCCCCUAAAUCGACUUCCAACCCUCGUUCCUGAGCGUGGGAGAACGCGGCAGACAGACAGAUGUCUCCCGCCCCUUAUCCUAUCCAGUUCCGCAAUUCACACUCGUUGCCAAAGAGUGGGGAGCGGGAAUGGAUACACCCGGGAACGACUGCACGUCCUGCGGGCGCCCGGGGAAGAAGGCAGCGCAGCACAAAACCUCUCCUGCGGUCACCUCCCACCCCAUCCUGCACCUGAGUUCUUGCGGGGAGGGGGUGCCCACAGCAGGUCGGGCCCAGAGGAUCCGGCAGGGGUCACUUUGAGGUGUACGGACUAGGAGUCUAUCCUCAGAACGCGUCAGCUCGACCCCAUCCCCGAUUAAUACCAGUGCGGGUCUCAGUCUCUUGUCCCUCGCGUCCCCCAGCCCUCUCCAAGGCCUCCAGAUUUAGCUCCCACUCUCCACGGGACGCAGGCCCGAGGACCCGGAAGAAGCUGAGUGGGGUCCGGUUUUCACACUUUUAUUGUAAAGCUCGGGAAUAAUUACACGGGUCUUUCAUUGACAGCUCAGCAAACAAACCGGAAACGAACCGAACCGGAGGGGGUAGGGGCGGUGCCUGCGCAUGCUCGCGGCGGGGCAGUGGGAAGUGGCACGAACCAAGAGAAACACGACCCCAAUGUGGGCACCCGACGCUCCCCCCUCCCAGAGAAGUCCCCAGUGGAGACGCCCCUUAAGAGACUUUCUCAUGGCCAACACAAGCCCUCCCAACACCCGGAGACAGCCCCGACCCAGGGAAGAAAUGGCUCCAGAGGCCCUACCCUCGGGAGAGAGAGGUAUCCCAGGGCUCCUAGGAGAAAAGACAACUCAGAGAUGCCCAGCCUCAUCCUAAAGUGCUGCAGGGCAGAGAAACCCCCAUAGGAGAGAUGGGGGUAGGGCCAGAAACAUCCCUUCCCAGACGUGUUUCAGAGAUAGCCCCCUUCCCUGGGAAGAGAGAUGGCCCGAAACUGACUUGCCUUAAGUACUCCCAGGAACCCUGGGAGGAAAACAGGCUCCCCAGAGAGCCUGGGUAAUUGGGGGAGACAUGCUCCCGUGGUCCUCAGCGGGAACACAUGUCCCCCGGAGACUCCCAAGGGGAGAGAUAGGGCCUAGAGAGACCCCAGAGGUGAGGGAUGCCCAGAGAACUUCCCCCCACCCCGGAAUGUGAAACAUGCUUCAAGGACCCUAGGAGAGAAAUAUGUCCCCAUAUACCCUCCCCCUACGGAGAGACAUGCCCUGAAGUAGGGGGAUGGGGACCGACUAGGUCCCCUCUGGGAAGACACAGACUGGGUCAGGCUGGGUUUGAGGGGGGCUCUCCUCUGGCCAAAUGUCGCCUAUUGGUACAUAAAACUGUACGCGACACAGGCAUUGGGGAGGGGCUUCACAGACCUAGGACCCACAGGGAUAGUCCCCAGUGCUGUCGCCAACCCCUGCCCACCUUUGGUUUCAUCUCUCCAGUGCCCAGUUGGUGACAGACUCAGUGCCCUGGCCCCAACCAGGGGGCUGGGGGCUCUGUCUUUGCCUGUGGGAAGGGCUUCUCAGCUCUCCCAGCCAUCUGGGCCACCCUCUUUCUUCUGGCUUCUCCAUUGUGCAAAAUGCUCCUCUGCUCUUCUGCUCAGUGCUCAGGGGUCUCUAAGACCAGGGCAAGGUACCCAGGCCACUAGGGGCUUCCAGUGGGAGUCCACUGACCCCAGGAAUGCCGCCUGUCUGGACCACCUUCUCCACCAAGCAAAUGGGCCUCAUACAAUCUUCUUGCCCGAAUCCUGACCUCCAGGACCCAGGACAAUCCUUGAGGCCACUGUUCCACCAGCUGGGCACCCAAUACUACCAACUCCAAGACUAUUGCACCUGCCCCAUUUGUGCAGGGGAAAGGGGCUGUCUCUUUAACAAGCCCCAAGCCCAUCUCCUGGGCCUCCCCAAGGGAAAGGAGCCUUUGGCCAACCCCUAGACCUGGCUGCUGCCACCCCAUCCCAUUCUACCCCUUCCCCUCUGUAGAAGGGCUUCGUAUGCCAGGGCUACCAGCCUAACAAUGCUCUCCUUCCUAGCACUGUCACCCCAAGCCAAGUUGGGGGUAAGGGGCAGAUAAAUAGGGUGAUUCUUCAGGCCCCUGGCUUUUCCGGGGUGGGGGUGGGGUCUCUGGGGUACAAGAGUCAAGACCCCAGCAGCACAGCUCCCAAAGGCACCAGACGACCCCGCAGCCUGUACCCACCGCUCGCAAUCUUGGACCACCUCCCCAAGCUUAGACUAAGUCAAGCAAGGGCCAUACCCUGAGUCUCCAGCCUCCCAGCCUGGGCCCCUAGGGAGCUGGAGAGGUAUGGGCCAAGGCAGUGGGGGUUUCUGGAAGGAAGAGGGGCUGAGGCUUUGAGAUGGCCACAGUGGGAGACGGGGGCUCUGCAGGACGCCCCUUACACCCUGGCCCCCUGAGGUGAAGAAGAGAACUUCACCUCAUCAUGGCUGACUGGGCCUGGGUUGGGGGGCACUGCGGCAGGGAGGAGGGGGCACAGGGCAGGUCCCCCCCCAGAGGGGUCCCCCAAGACAACACGACAUCAACAAGAAAAGUUGCAAAUCAGGCAGAAAUGGGGACGUCAUUCCAAGGUCCUUAUAUACAGACACUGCAUGACCAGCAGGGAAUGGGGGCCCAGAUGGGACUAGGCGUGGGCAUGUGGCAGGCAGGUGG
rnacentral:lncRNA from 10 species